CCUACGGGAGGCAGCAGUGGGGAAUCUUGCACAAUGGAGGAAACUCUGAUGCAGCGACGCCGCGUGAGCGAUGAAGCCCUUCGGGGUGUAAAGCUCUUUCGACGGGAACGAUAAUGACGGUACCCUAAGAAGAAGCUGCGGCUAACUACGUGCCAGCAGCCGCGGUAAU
rnacentral:rRNA from 1 species